GUUUCUCCUUGUCUUUUUUCCAACGUUUUUAAAAAAAUUCAAAACAAUUUUCUCACGGUUCGUUGGUUUAAAUGCUGUGAAAAGUGUCUGAACGCAGCAAAAACAGGUGUUGAUCCAGGGUUCAAAAGGUUAAAGUUUGAGUAAUCCGCAGCACGCACGACCAAGUCGACAAAUUUUUCUCCGCUUUGCAAAAGUGCAUCACAUCAUCACUUCAGACACCCUGAGUUCUGACACGUCCCUCUUUCCUCGUUCACAGCGGACGUUUUGAGCGAAGAGGCCAUACUGAAGUGGUACACCGACGCCCACGUUGCCAAGGGGAAGAGCGUUUUCCUCGAGCAGAUGAAGAAAUUCGUCGAGUGGCUGAAGAAUGCCGAGGAAGAGUCUGAAUCGGACGAAGAGGAGACGGACUAAAUCCUCCGCGGCCAGACGAGCUUUUUCUUUCCCCUUUUCUUUUGUUUUUCAUAAGUAGCAGCAGGAGCAGUAGAAUGUCUUUUUCCCGUCUUUCUCUUCUACCUCCUGGUACUUCUUUGUCCUCACACACACACACACACACACACACGCACACGCACCCUUCCACCACUCCAAAACAUGACCUAAACAUUAUUUAAACAAAAAAAGGGCUCGGUCCUUGUUCGUAACAUGUUCGGGCGUGGCGGCUCGCAGUGGAAGCGGAAAACGAUAAAUAACUCCCCCUCUUUUUUUGGUAUUAUUAUGAUUGUUGUACUUCCUUCUGUAAUUUGGAUACAAAACAUUCCACGCGAACUCGAUGGCCGCCGCUCGUAUGAAUCAGAACCGCAAUUUGUUUGAUAUUCGCGUUUUUUGCCAUGCGACUAUAAGGCCGACGAAAAAGCGAUUUUUGCCAACGUUUUUCUUAAGUUCUUCUCCCCUUUUUGAGUUUUAUUUCGCCCAGCUCAUGUUUUGGCUCCUGUUGGGUCUUAAACUUCGCCUCCUUUCUUGACUUUUGGGUAAACGUGUACCGCGUGUCGAGAUCACUCUGGUCGGUCCGUCAGAAGACACGCCCCCCUGUAAGAUGCCUCGCCAGCUGACUGAUUAUUAUUGGUUUCUACUUUCUUUAAUCUGAUAUAAACCGAUUGACUUUUUUAUGAAAAUAAAGAUUAUUGAAAUGGUU